AUACUAGCUGACGAGUCCCAAAUAGGACGAAACGCUCCUCCUAGAU
rnacentral:hammerhead_ribozyme from 1 species